rnacentral:rRNA from 1 species
CAAUAGCAUAUAUUAACGUUGUUGCAGUUGAAAAGCUCGUAGUUGAACUUUUGGUAGGAGCGACCUGGCCUCGGGCGCAUGCCCUUGUUUGCCGUGUGUCGUAUCUGGCCAUCCUUUUCCGUUUCGGCGGGAAUCUUUUACUGUGAGUAAACUGGAGUGCUCAAAACAAGACGUUUGUUUGGUACAUUAAAGCAUGGAAUAAUAAGAUAGGACCUGGUUACUAUUUUGUUGGUUUGCAUAGCUAGGUAAUGAUUAACAGGGACAGUUGGGGGUAUUCGUAUUUAAUUGUCAGAGGUGAAAUUCUUGGAUUUAUGAAAGACGAACGACUGCGAAAGCAUUUACCAAGGAUGUUUUCAUUAA